rnacentral:rRNA from 1 species
GACGAACGCUGGCGGCGUGCCUAAUACAUGCAAGUAGAACGCUGAAGGAGGAGCUUGCUUCUCUGGAUGAGUUGCGAACGGGUGAGUAACGCGUAGGUAACCUGCCUGGUAGCGGGGGAUAACUAUUGGAAACGAUAGCUAAUACCGCAUAAUAGUAGAUGUCGCAUGACAUUUGCUUAAAAGGUGCAAUUGCAUCACUACCAGAUGGACCUGCGUUGUAUUAGCUAGUUGGUGAGGUAACGGCUCACCAAGGCAACGAUACAUAGCCGACCUGAGAGGGGGAUCGGCCACACUGGGACUGAGACACGGCCCAGACUCCUACGGGAGGCAGCAGUAGGGAAUCUUCGGCAAUGGACGGAAGUCUGACCGAGCAACGCCGCGUGAGUGAAGAAGGUUUUCGGAUCGUAAAGCUCGGUUGUAAGAGAAGAACGAGUGUGAGAGUGGAAAGUUCACACUGUGACGGUAUCUUACCAGAAAGGGACGGCUAACUACGUG